rnacentral:rRNA from 1 species
CUACGGGAGCAGCAGUAAGGAAUAUUGGGCAAUGGACGCAAGUCUGACCCAGCCAUGCCGCGUGCAGGAUGACAGCCCUACGGGUUGUAAACUGCUUUUAUACGGGAAAAAACCCCUGCACGAGUUGCGGGGUUGAUGGUACCGUAAGAAUAAGCAUCGGCUAACUCCGUGCCAGCAGCCGCGGUAAUACGGAGGAUGCAAGCGUUAUCCGGAUUCAUUGGGUUUAAAGGGUGCGUAGGCGGAAUGAUAAGUCAGUGGUGAAAUCCUACAGCUUAACUGUAGAACUGCCAUUGAUACUGUUGUUCUUGAGUACAUUUGAAGUGGGCGGAAUGUGUCAUGUAGCGGUGAAAUGCAUAGAGAUGACACAGAACACCGAUCGCGAAGGCAGCUCACUAAACUGUAACUGACGCUGAGGCACGAAAGCGUGGGGAUCAAACAGGAUUAGAUACCCGCGUAGUC